UAUGUACUAUUUUUCAUGUUAUUCUUUGCAAAGUUAUUACGACUUCCAUCUACUGAGGGCAGUACGGAUUCCUGAUUACCCAUGUGGAAUGACAAAUUCAUUUAAUUUUAUAACAGCAAUUUGUGGCUUGUCAAACCAAUAGAACAUUUAUGGCUUGUCAAACCAUGACAUGAUCUAUGACCACAGCCGUGUCAACUACAGUGGUCUUAUAUGUUAACUAUGGCUACGACCGUACUUUGCCAAAAGUGACCCCUGCAAUUAUAUUGUAUCACCACUCUUGUCAAAGGGUACGGUAUUAUCCACAAAAAGUUGUCCUCUCACGUCUUUUUAGAGCAGAUGGGGGAAAAACAGAAACU
rnacentral:lncRNA from 1 species